GACGAACGCUGGCGGCGUGCUUAACACAUGCAAGUCGAACGGAAAGGCCCUGCUUUUGUGGGGUGCUCGAGUGGCGAACGGGUGAGUAACACGUGAGUAACCUGCCCUUGACUUUGGGAUAACUUCAGGAAACUGGGGCUAAUACCGGAUAGGAGCUCCUGCUGCAUGGUGGGGGUUGGAAAGUUUCGGCGGUUGGGGAUGGACUCGCGGCUUAUCAGCUUGUUGGUGGGGUAGUGGCUUACCAAGGCUUUGACGGGUAGCCGGCCUGAGAGGGUGACCGGCCACAUUGGGACUGAGAUACGGCCCAGACUCCUACGGGAGGCAUCAGUGGGGAAUAUUGCACAAUGGGCGGAAGCCUGAUGCAGCAACGCCGCGUGCGGGAUGACGGCCUUCGGGUUGUAAACCGCUUUCGCCUGUGACGAAGCGUGAGUGACGGUAAUGGGUAAAGAAGCACCGGCUAACUACGUG
rnacentral:rRNA from 1 species